UGCCAGCCGCCGCGGUAAUACGGGGGGAGCGAGCGUUAAUCGGAAUUACUGGGCGUAAAGCGCGCGUAGGCGGCUUUGUAAGUCGGAUGUGAAAGCCCCGGGCUUAACCUGGGAAUGGCAUUCGAUACUGCAGAGCUAGAGUAUGGUAGAGGGAAGUGGAAUUUCCGGUGUAGCGGUGAAAUGCGUAGAUAUCGGAAGGAACACCGGUGGCGAAGGCGGCUCACUGGCUCGAUACUGACGCUGAGGUACGAAAGUGUGGGGAGCAAACAGGAUUAGAUA
rnacentral:rRNA from 1 species